rnacentral:rRNA from 1 species
UACAGAGGUCUCAAGCGUUGUUCGGAUUCAUUGGGCGUAAAGGGCGCGUAGGCGGCUCAUGAAGGCUGUGGUGAAAGUCCGGGGCUCAACCUCGGAUCGGCCGUGGCGACUCGUGGGCUGGAGCACUGUAGAGGCGGGUGGAAUUCCGGGUGUAGCGGUGGAAUGCGUAGAGAUCCGGAGGAACACCGAUGGCGAAGGCAGGUCUCUGGGCAUUAACUGACGCUGAGGAGCGGAAAGCAUGGGGAGCGAACAGG